rnacentral:rRNA from 1 species
CAUCCUGGCUCAGGAUGAACGCUGGCGGCGUGCCUAACACAUGCAAGUCGAACGGAGUCGUUUUGGAAAUCUCUUCGGAGAUGGAAUUCUCGACUUAGUGGCGGACGGGUGAGUAACGCGUGAGCAAUCUGCCUUUGAGAGGGGGAUAACAGUCGGAAACGGCUGCUAAUACCGCAUAAAGCAUCAAAUUCGCAUGUUUUUGAUGCCAAAGGAGCAAUCCGCUUUUAG